rnacentral:rRNA from 1 species
UACAGAGGUCUCAAGCGUUGUUCGGAUUUACUGGGCGUAAAGGGCGCGUAGGCGGCGUGACAAGUCACUUGUGAAAUCUCCGGGCUUAACUCGGAACGGUCAAGUGAUACUGUCGUGCUAGAGUACAGAAGGGGCAACUGGAAUUCUCGGUGUAGCGGUGAAAUGCGUAGAUAUCGAGAGGAACACCUGCGGCGAAGGCGGGUUGCUGGGCUGAUACUGACGCUGAGGCGCGAAAGCGUGGGGAGCGAACAGG